AGAAGCCAGAUGCUGCUGCUAAAAGAUUAUUUUCCACAAAGUUUGGGCCUGUGAUGUUCAUCUCAGCCCCAUGUGUGGCCUUGGGCAGGGGGCUUUAUUGCUGGAUGAAAUAAAGAAGGCCAAGAGUUGUCCCAGGAGAUGAACUUCCUCAUUCUUUCACAUUUGUGCACACAUGAGUGUCUUGCACCCCCGCUGUGUCAGAGAUGCCCCAAGGAAGAACAGAAGUGAUCCUGGGUGUAGCUGAGAAAAGAAGAAAGGAAAAAGAGAGAGAGACACAGAACGAUCUACAUAAUGGACAGAUUAAGAAACAAAAGUCAGCUAUCCAGAUAAAAGAAUCAUAAUGGUCUCAGGGUUGGAAAAGAGACCUGUCAAGACUGCAUCAAAUAUGGACUUAUUGAAGAAAAAGAAGACAGCUGGGCUCCAAGGUUGUGAGGGUACAUUUACUCAUUCCUGAUUGAAGGGGUUGGUUUUAUUCUAUAGUUCAGUAGGAAUCAAAAUAUCAUACUUGCCUUUCUUCUCCUGUUGACUUUUUGUCAAGAUUAAACAAAAUCAUUUAUGUAAAACUGCUCUAUGGACUAUAAAUUCCAAUAAAAGAAAAAAUAAGAACUUCA